GACGGAAGGUGCAAGCGUUGCUCGGAAUCACUGGGCGUAAAGGGCGCGUAGGCGGUUCGGUAAGUCCUGUGUGAAAUCCCUCGGCUCAACUGAGGAACUGCACGGGAGACUGCCGGGCUUGAGUUCGGGAGAGGGAAGCGGAAUUCCGGGUGUAGCGGUGAAAUGCGUAGAUAUCCGGAGGAACACCGGUGGCGAAGGCGGCUUCCUGGACCGACACUGACGCUGAGGCGCGAAAGCUAGGGGAGCAAACGGG
rnacentral:rRNA from 1 species